GAUGAACGCUGGCGGCGUGCCUAAUACAUGCAAGUCGAGCGAACGGACGAGAAGCCUGCUUCUCUGAUGUUAGCGGCGGACGGGUGAGUAACACGUGGAUAACCUACCUAUAAGACUGGGAUAACUUCGGGAAACCGGAGCUAAUACCGGUUAAUAUUUUGAACCGCAUGGUUCAAAAGUGAAAGACGGUCUUGCUGUCACUUAUAGAUGGAUCCGCGCUGCAUUAGCUAGUUGGUAAGGUAACGGCUUACCAAGGCAACGAUGCAUAGCCGACCUGAGAGGGUGAUCAGCCACACUGGAACGGAGACACGGUCCAGACUCCUACGGGAGGCAGCAGUAGGGAAUCUUCCGCAAUGGGCGAAAGCCUGACGGAGCAACGCCGCGUGAGUGAUGAAGGUCUUCGGAUCGUAAAACUCUGUUAUUAGGGAAGAACAAAUGUGUAAGUAACGGUGCACAUCUUGACGGUACCUAAUCAGAAAGCCACGGCUAACUACGUG
rnacentral:rRNA from 1 species